GUAGCAUAAUCACUUGCCCAUUAAUUGUAGGCUAGAAUGAAUGGAAAAACGAAGUAAUAGCUGUCUCUAGUAGUACCAUAAAAACUAAUCUUCCAGUGAAGAAGCUGAAAUAAAAUCACAGGACAAGAAGACCCUAUAGAGCUUUAUUUUUAAUACAUAAAUUAAAUGUAAAAAAAUUCAGUUGGGGCGACUAAGGAAAAAUCAUCCUAAACAAAAAAGACCUACAGGUCAAUUAAAAGAUCCUAAAUAUAGAUCAAAGAAAUAAGCUACCUUAGGGAUAACAGGCUAAUCCUCCUGGAAAGUCCAAAUUUAUAGGAGGGGUUGGCACCU
rnacentral:rRNA from 1 species